rnacentral:rRNA from 1 species
UACGUAGGUGGCGAGCGUUUGUCCGGAUUUACUGGGCGUAAAGAGCGCGCAGGCGGUCGUUCAAGUCGCGUGUGAAAGCCCCCGGCUCAACUGGGGAGGGUCACGCGAUACUGAUCGACUCGAAGGCAGGAGAGGGAAGUGGAAUUCCCGGUGUAGUGGUGAAAUGCGUAGAUAUCGGGAGGAACACCAGUGGCGAAGGCGACUUCCUGGCCUGUCCUUGACGCUGAGGCGCGAAAGCUAGGGGAGCAAACGGG